rnacentral:rRNA from 1 species
GAUUAUGGCUCAGGAUGAACGCUAGCUACAGGCUUAACACAUGCAAGUCGAGGGCAGCAGGAUCUAGCUGCUAAGAUUGCUGGCAACCGGCGCACGGGUGAGUAACGCGUAUCCAACCUUCCCCUUAGUAGGGCAUAGCCCGAUGAAAAAUCGGAUUAAUACCCUAUGUUUUCCAAUGAGGACAUCUGAGCUGGAACAAAGAUUCAUCGCUAAGGGAUGGGGGAUGCGUCCGAUUAGGUAGUCGGCGGGGUAACGGCCCACCGAGCCAUCGAUCGGUAGGGGUUCUGAGAGGAAGGUCCCCCACAUUGGAACUGAGACACGGUCCAAACUCCUACGGGAGGCAGCAGUGAGGAAUAUUGGUCAAUGGGCGAGAGCCUGAACCAGCCAAGUAGCGUGCAGGAUGACGGCCCUAUGGGUUGUAAACUGCUUUUAUGCGGGGAUAAAGUUCGCCACGUGUGGCGUUUUGUAGGUACCGCAUGAAUAAGGACCGGCUAAUUCCGUGCCAGCCGCAGC